GUUACCCUAUCAGAACUUACUUUCCAAGAAAAAUCCCAUCAUAAUUUCCAAGUUGAUAUUUAAACCGUUUUGUUGAAUAGAUAUUUUGUUAAAAUGAAAACGUGGCUUUCCAAACAGGGAGACAUCACUGGUCAGCAAAUUCUAAAGGGAACUAGCCUUGCUUCCAAGAGAAUGAGGCAAUUCAAAACACAUGUUCUGAACUAGUGAACGAAGACGGAGAGGAACAUCCACCCCUCUCAAUCCCAACAACCCCAUUUAACGCAACCCCCCAUCGUGUUCCCUUUCCUCCAGCCUCUGACUCUCAAGAGUUUUCACAAAUAAUCUGUGAAUCUGCAUCAUUGGAAACAACCAGCACUUUAAGAGUGAGAAGAAAGCUGAUGUCUAACUGAACAGAAAACCCUCUAGCCCCACCCUUUCUACCCCGACCUGUUAUGAUAACAGAGACAACAAUGCAAGCUUUGAGUAGUGAUUAAGUGAAUAAGUAAGUAGUAAUUAUUCCAUGAAGAGUGGCUAGAGAGAAAUUCCAUGAGAAUUUCUUAUCCUAUGAGAAACUAGAGAAAGCUUUUUGUCUUCAAGAAUUAAUUGUAGGCAAAGGCCAGCUGAGGUACUGGGCACUAACAGCCUUCCUUGGAGACACAGAAUGCUAACCCUGGUCGCGGUCACAAAGACCACCAGUAACAGCACCCUACUUUACACAGCUAACGCUAAGUGCGUCAGAUUUCGGAAGUCCAGAUUAUAUCUAAGACCAGCCUUUCCCAAGUGUAUUCUGCAUGAUGACUCCAGGCAUUUCACAAAAAGGAGGGGAGGAAAAGGCAGGAGCUCCAUGGCCAAGUAGUUUGGGGAACGGCUGGAUCCACACAAAGUUUGCCAGGUUCUUUUACUGCUCAGCGACUGAUACAGUAGUGUUCUGGGACAAGAAUGGCAUUUGACCAGGGAGUGCGCUUUUUUUCAGGCAUCAAAUCUGGAGUAUUCUCAAGAUGACAUCAUGUCUUCAGAUACUUCCACUUUCAUGAAUGGCCACAAAAUAUACCGGGUGGCAGAAAAAGAUGAAAGUAGGUAGGUUCUCUGCUGAAACCAGGUGGCUGUCUAUUUUGUUGUUUUCAUACUUGUUGAACUGCACACUGAUGACCCUCAAUAGCACUAGACUCUGGCCAGCCAAUUAGCAGGCUCAGUAGCAGCUUUGCCCAUCUACCUGUGAUUUCUCUGCUCUACCUGCCAGGCUACCCCCAAGCCUCCCUCCCUACAGAUACCUGGGGCCUCUUAUCAAAGGCAUUCCUGCUUUUGUUCCAAAAGGUACCAAUAUAGAAGGUGUUAACAUUUUGAAACAAAAUAUAAUCAUAACAACUCGUUAUCUUAACUCAGAGUUCCACAGAGCUUGCUCAGAGUAGGAAUGUACUGUAAGGACGAACAAUUUCAGUUCUGACCCCUGAUUUUUCUCCUCUAGAGCCCAAUUUGGCUAUUUCAAAUACCCAUGUUCACCUCUCUUUGAAGCCAUUAUGGUAAAAUCUGAAUAAUGAAUGGCCGUGGUUCCCAAGCCUGGGCCAAGGAACCCUUGGACAGGGCCUCAGGGUCAUUACAAAGGUUCUUGCAUCCACUUGAGCAUUAAAAAUGGUCUGCAGACUCAGAUCUCAGAAGUACAGCUGCUAUUACAUGAGGGAAUCCAUUGAACAGUUUGAUGUCAAAAAAGAGAUCCUCCUGUUUUAAAAAACUGGAAACCAGGAUUAGCACUUUUAAUAAAUUAACCCCCUUCCAGUAAUCUGUCCUACGAGCAAGAGAAGAACAUACCUUGAUACCUUCUUUUAAAUUACAGAUUAAAUGAUAAAAAAUAUUUGGUUUUGUUUCUCGGUUAUAAUCUCUUUAAGACAUGGCAAAACUUGAAAUUACUAAAGCUCAUGAACUCAAACAUUACACAACUGUCCUCCCUGCAAUGCUAUGUUAUUCUACUCUUUGGCAAGGAACAGAUAAGUAGAUUAUGUAUUAUCUACAGUGAUACCAAAUGGAGACUUUAGAAUAAAGUCUCAACAAAACAUGUUGACAGACCUGCACUGAUAUUAAAAAUAAA